CCGUAAUAUGGGCAUGACUUACCAUGCAAGUCGAACGGCAGCACGGGUGCUUGCACCUGGUGGCGAGUGGCGAACGGGUGAGUAAUACAUCGGAACAUGUCCUGUAGUGGGGGAUAGCCCGGCGAAAGCCGGAUUAAUACCGCAUACGAUCUCUGGAUGAAAGCGGGGGACCUUCGGGCCUCGCGCUAUAGGGUUGGCCGAUGGCUGAUUAGCUAGUUGGUGGGGUAAAGGCCUACCAAGGCGACGAUCAGUAGCUGGUCUGAGAGGACGACCAGCCACACUGGGACUGAGACACGGCCCAGACUCCUACGGGAGGCAGCAGUGGGGAAUUUUGGACAAUGGGCGAAAGCCUGAUCCAGCAAUGCCGCGUGUGUGAAGAAGGCCUUCGGGUUGUAAAGCACUUUUGUCCGGAAAGAAAUCCUUGGCUCUAAUACAGUCGGGGGAUGACGGUACCGGAAGAAUAAGCACCGGCUAACUACGUGCCAGCAGCCGGCGGUAAUA
rnacentral:rRNA from 1 species